rnacentral:lncRNA from 1 species
GCAAGUGAGCAAGCAAGCCAGCAAGCACAGGAGCACACUCUCGUGGAGGCCCACACCCUCCCUGUGCCUACCCAAGAUGUGUCAGUCAGAGAAGCAUCCAGAACCGGAGCUCCAAGCAGCAGCGAAAUAGUUGUACUUUCUCCAGCUGGCCCUAUGGCGGAGGCUAGGCCAGCUGAGCUGCAUGUCCAGACCUGCUCUGAAACUGCGCUCCUGGCUGCUGACCAUCCUCUACUACCUCCUGCCCUUCCGUGUGCUCAGGCCCCACAGCCAGGUGGGAUGGAGGCCCCUGAGCAGG